CCAGACAGCCAGGAUGUUGGCUUAGAAGCAGCCAUCAUUUAAAGAAAGCGUAAUAGCUCACUGGUCGAGUCGGCCUGCGCGGAAGAUGUAACGGGGCUAAACCAUGCACCGAAGCUGCGGCAGCGACACUAUGUGUUGUUGGGUAGGGGAGCGUUCUGUAAGCCUGUGAAGGUGUACUGUGAGGUAUGCUGGAGGUAUCAGAAGUGCGAAUGCUGACAUAAGUAACGAUAAAGCGGGUGAAAAGCCCGCUCGCCGGAAGAC
rnacentral:rRNA from 1 species